AGGCGGUAUGGCAGAAAGUUCCAGAGGUCAGAAGAGUACAUUGUGACAUCACAUCCGAGAGCUGAUCAAAAAAAGCGUUUGUGCGUCCAUUCUGAGCACAUUCAUUUCUAUCCUGGCGCAGACCUUAAGGGCGGUGUUCGAGGCCAUUGUUCAGUAUACGCUCCUCUUGCACUGUUGGGAGGGGUUGCCUAAUAAUAGCUGAAGAAAUGCCAAAUAUUUUAAACUCUACCUUCUCGCCUGUAUGCAACGAAAUUUUCUUGUUCCUCACAAUUACAUCUGACGGAGACAGUAAUUCAUUCCAGAUGUCCGAAUCAAAACGGAUAUUUCUGAGGGCUCACAAAUGAGACGAAGGGGGUACAGAAGAAAGGUGAAUUUCCAUAUGCUUUUUUAAAAAUACAUUUAUAAUUGAACAGACCUUGAAA